UGAGGAAUGUUUACAUUGAGUGAUAAGAAGAGAACAAAGAAUCUUCAAAGGAGAAAAACAAAAACAGAUCUGAGAGAGGAGAAAGCCAGGAGAGUGAGGGGAUCAUCAGGGAGGGAAUGGGUGAGCUGCAGAGAACAUGGAGGCAGAGAACUGGACAAAAGUCACCUCAGGCUUUGGGAGGUACCUGUCAUGAGAGCAGAAUCAGGUGUCCUCUCCCCCCACCCCCUUACACACACACAUACCCUGUCUCUCUCUCUCUCACACACACACCAUGCAGAGGAGUUCAGGGACAAACAAGAUAAGAGAUAAGGAUGAUGAAGUGGCAUUUGCAAACAAACAUCUUUAAGGUUUAAAGGAUGUUACAUAACUGAAAAGGUGGGAUCAUGUGUGCUCUUAAGAAUACAGAGUUUCAAA
rnacentral:lncRNA from 1 species